GGCUAGCUCAGUUUGUAGAGCACAAGACUCUUAAUCUCAGGGUUGUGGGUUCAAGCCCCAUGUUGGGCA